rnacentral:rRNA from 1 species
UGCCGCGUGCAGGAUGACGGUCCUAUGGAUUGUAAACUGCUUUUGUACAGGAAGAAACAGUUCUACGUGUAGAACCUUGACGGUACUGUAAGAAUAAGGAUCGGCUAACUCCGUGCCAGCAGCCGCGGUAAUACGGAGGAUCCAAGCGUUAUCCGGAAUCAUUGGGUUUAAAGGGUCCGUAGGCGGUUUAGUAAGUCAGUGGUGAAAGCCCAUCGCUCAACGGUGGAACGGCCAUUGAUACUGCUAGACUUGAAUUAUUAGGAAGUAACUAGAAUAUGUAGUGUAGCGGUGAAAUGCUUAGAGAUUACAUGGAAUACCAAUUGCGAAGGCAGGUUACUACUAAUGGAUUGACGCUGAUGGACGAAAGCGUGGGUAGCGAACAGGAUUAGAUACCCUGGUAGUCCACGCCGUAAACGAUGGAUACUAGCUGUUGGGGGCAACUUCAGUGGCUAAGCGAAAGUGAUAAGUAUCCCACCUGGGGAGUACGUUCGCAAGAAUGAAACUCAAAGGAAUUGACGGGGGCCCGCACAAGCGGUGGAGCAUGUGGUUUAAUUCGAUGAUACGCGAGGAACCUUACCAAGGCUUAAAUGUAGAUUGACCGGUUUGGAAACAGACUUUUC